GCGCUGUGGCGUAGUGGCUAGCGCGUGCAGUCGCAGACCUGCAGGUCGCGGGUUCGAAUCCCCCUCGCGCA
rnacentral:tRNA from 1 species